GGAGGCAGCAGUGAGGAAUAUUGGUCAAUGGGAGAGAUCCUGAACCAGCCAAGCCGCGUGAGGGAAGACGGCCCUAUGGGUUGUAAACCUCUUUUGUCGGAGAACAAAACCCGGGACGAGUCCCGGACUGCGUGUAUCCGAAGAAAAAGCAUCGGCUAACUCCGUGCCAGCAGCCGCGGUAAUACGGAGGAUGCGAGCGUUAUCCGGAUUUAUUGGGUUUAAAGGGUGCGUAGGCGGUCUGUUAAGUCAGCGGUAAAAUUGCGGGGCUCAACCCCGUCGAGCCGUUGAAACUGGCAGACUUGAGUUGGCGAGAAGUACGCGGAAUGCGCGGUGUAGCGGUGAAAUGCAUAGAUAUCGCGCAGAACUCCGAUUGCGAAGGCAGCGUACCGGCGCCAGACUGACGCUGAGGCACGAAAGCGUGGGGAUCGAACAGGAUUAGAUACCCUGGUAGUCCACGCAG
rnacentral:rRNA from 1 species